GCACAAGCGGUGGAGCAUGUGGUUUAAUUCGAUGCAACGCGAAGAACCUUACCUGGGCUUGACAUCCCGGGAAUCCCUUGGAAACAAGGGAGUGCCCUUCGGGGAACCUGGAGACAGGUGCUGCAUGGCUGUCGUCAGCUCGUGUCGUGAGAUGUAGGGUUAAGUCCCGCAACGAGCGCAACCCUUGUCUUUAAUUGCCAUCAUUGAGUUGGGCACUUUAAAGAGACUGCCGGUGUUAAACCGGAGGAAGGUGGGGAUGACGUCAAGUCCUCAUGGCCUUUAUGCUUAGGGCUACACACGUGCUACAAUGGGUGGUACAAAGAGAAGCCAACUCGCGAGAGCGCGCCAAUCUCAAAAAGCCAGUCGUAGUCCGGAUCGUAGUCUGCAACUCGACUACGUGAAGUCGGAAUCGCUAGUAAUCGUGGAUCAGAAUGUCACGGUGAAUACGUUCCCGGGUCUU
rnacentral:rRNA from 1 species